GAUGAAGAACGCAGCGAAAUGCGAUAAGUAAUGUGAAUUGCAGAAUUCAGUGAAUCAUCGAAUCUUUGAACGCACCUUGCGCCCCUUGGCUAUUCCGAGGGGCAUGCCUGUUUGAGUAUCAUGAACACCUCAACUCUCACGGUUUGCCGUGGUGAGCUUGGAUGUUGGGGGGUUUGCUGGCCUGGGGUCGGCUCCUCUCAAAUGAAUCAGCUUUCCAGUGUUUGGUGGCGCAACGGGUGUGAUAACUAUCUACGCUCGUGACCGUCUGCCAGGUAACCUUCUGCAAUGGGGGUUUGCUGGAGCUCACAAAUGUCUCUCCUCAGUGAAGACAGCCUUUUGAACGUUCGAUCUCAAAUCAGGUAGGACUACCCGCUGAACUUAAGCAUAUCAAUAAGCGGAGGA
rnacentral:misc_RNA from 1 species